GCUGGCGGCAUGCCUUACCAUGCCAUUUGAACGGCAGCAUGAUCUAGCUUGCUAUAUUGAUGGCGAGUGGCGAACGGGUGAGUAAUACAUCGGAACGUGCCCUGUAGUGGGGGAUAACUAGUCGAAAGAUUAGCUAAUACCGCAUACGACCUGAGGGUGAAAGUGGGGGACCGCAAGGCCUCAUGCUAUAGGAGCGGCCGAUGUCUGAUUAGCUAGUUGGUGGGGUAAAGGCCCACCAAGGCGACGAUCAGUAGCUGGUCUGAGAGGACGAUCAGCCACACUGGGACUGAGACACGGCCCAGACUCCUACGGGAGGCAGCAGUGGGGAAUUUUGGACAAUGGGCGAAAGCCUGAUCCAGCAAUGCCGCGUGUGUGAAGAAGGCCUUCGGGUUGUAAAGCACUUUUGUCCGGAAAGAAAUGGCUCUGGUUAAUACCUGGGGUCGAUGACGGUACCGGAAGAAUAAGGACCGGCUAACUACGUGCCAGCAGCCGCGGUAAUACGUAGGGUCCAAGCGUUAAUCGGAAUUACUGGGCGUAAAGCGUGCGCAGGCGGUUGUGCAAGACCGAUGUGAAAUCCCCGAGCUUAACUUGGGAAUUGCAUUGGUGACUGCACGGCUAGAGUGUGUCAAAGGGGGGUAGAACUCACGUGUAGCAGUGAAAUGCCUAGAGGUGUGGAAGAAUACCGAUGGCAAAGCAGCCCCCUGGGAUACACUGACGCUCAUGCACCAAAGCGU
rnacentral:rRNA from 1 species